UACGUAGGGUGCGAGCGUUAAUCGGAAUUACUGGGCGUAAAGCGUGCGCAGGCGGUUUUGCAAGACAGAUGUGAAAUCCCCGGGCUUAACCUGGGAACUGCAUUUGUGACUGCAAGGCUAGAGUGUGUCAGAGGGAGGUGGAAUUCCGCGUGUAGCAGUGAAAUGCGUAGAGAUGCGGAGGAACACCGAUGGCGAAGGCAGCCUCUGGGAUAACACUGACGCUCAUGCACGAAAGCGUGGGGAGCAAACAGG
rnacentral:rRNA from 1 species